CAAUAGCGUAUAUUAAAGUUGUUGCAGUUAAAAAGCUCGUAGUUGGAUUUCUGGUAGGAGUGACCGUGCCAGACUUGAUUGUCUGUGUAUUGUGUUGUCUCCAGCCAUCCUUGUGGAGAACUUUUCUUGCAUUAAUUUGUAGGGAUUGGGACCCGCAUCGUUUACUGUGAAAAAAUUAGAGUGUUUGAAGCAGGCAAUCGCUUGAAUACAUUAGCAUGGAAUAAUAAGAUAGGACUUUGGUACUAUUUUGUUGGUUUGCAUACCAAAUUAAUGAUCAACAGGAACAGUUUGAGGAUAUUCGUAUGAACGUGUCAGAGGUGAAAUUCUUGGAUUUUGAUCAGACGAACUACUGCGAAAGCAUUUAUCAAGGAUGUUUUCAUUAA
rnacentral:rRNA from 1 species